rnacentral:rRNA from 1 species
CAAGUCGAGCGGAAACGAAGACGUGCUUGCUACCUCUGGCGUCGAGCGGCGGACGGGUGAGUAAUGCUUGGGAACAUGCCUUGAGGUGGGGGACAACAGUUGGAAACGACUGCUAAUACCGCAUAAUGUCUACGGACCAAAGGGGGCUUCGGCUCUCGCCUUUAGAUUAGCCCAAGUGGGAUUAGCUAGUUGGUGAGGUAAUGGCUCACCAAGGCAACGAUCCCUAGCUGGUUUGAGAGGAUGAUCAGCCACACUGGGACUGAGACACGGCCCAGACUCCUACGGGAGGCAGCAGUGGGGAAUAUUGCACAAUGGGCGCAAGCCUGAUGCAGCCAUGCCCCGUGUGUGAAGAAGGCCUUCGGGUUGUUAAGCACUUUCAGUAAGGAGGAAAGGUUCAGUGUUAAUAGCACUUAGCUGUGACGUUACUUACAGAAGAAGCACCGGCUAACUCCGUGCCAGCAUCCGCGGUAAUACGGAGGGUGCGAGCGUUAAUCGGAAUUACUGGGCGUAAAGCGUACGCAGGCGGUUUGUUAAGCGAGAUGUGAAAGCCCCGGGCUCAACCUGGGAACUGCAUUUCGAACUGCCAAACUAGAGUUGAUGCGGGUGGU